AUUGGCGAAAAUUAAAGUGCAUUUCGAUUUCAAAACGCAUUUUCGCCAUUUGCUGAUUGCCUUUCCGGCGCAUAUACGGGAGCCCACUUUCUUUCGUAUCUCUGACAAAAGGCGAAUUUACUAAACAUUUCAAGAAGACAAACCGUCCGGGACACACGCACUAAAAAAAAAGUAAAUAUUAGGACCAAAAAGGGGAAAAGAAACAUACUGGUGUUUCGUGAAGUCUAACCACUCACUUGCUAACUGCUUCAACAUGAUGGAGGGGUCGCCAUAGAAAAUCUUGCCCAGGGCGCCACAUUGACUCGGGCCAGCCGUGGAAGAGAGGAGACGCGAAAAUAUACACCGCAGAGGUUACACAAAAUAACCAUCAAUUCGCCCUCUGUCUCAAAGACCGUGCAAGAUCUUGCGUAGUGGAGUGAGCAUGAUCCUGACAAAGUGCCCACAAGGUACCCUGAAGAUGGCCCCCGGUGAACAUCUAAAUGACUCAGAGGAGACCUGGGGAGAAGUUCAAUGGCCAGGUGAAACCAAAGUUUGAACUAUUCGACACAGACCUGACCCGGCGUGUUCGGAGGAUGAAAGAAAUCGGCAUUUGAACCACAGAACACCCCCGCGGUCAAGUGCAGGGGUAAUGCUGUGAUCUUUUCGGAGUGUUUAUCCUUCAAAGUGCCAUUCACUGAUGUUUAAUUAAGACCAUGUCCGGGUGCAUAUUCAAUCUCUAGCAGUAACGCCAGAGCCUUUAAGACUCGUUAAACACAGAAAAUCAGUGUGCUCUAAAUUC